GAUGAACGCUGGCGGCGUGCCUAAUACAUGCAAGUCGAGCGAACAGACGAGGAGCUUGCUCCUCUGACGUUAGCGGCGGACGGGUGAGUAACACGUGGAUAACCUACCUAUAAGACUGGGAUAACUUCGGGAAACCGGAGCUAAUACCGGAUAAUAUAUUGAACCGCAUGGUUCAAUAGUGAAAGACGGUUUUGCUGUCACUUAUAGAUGGAUCCGCGCCGCAUUAGCUAGUUGGUAAGGUAACGGCUUACCAAGGCGACGAUGCGUAGCCGACCUGAGAGGGUGAUCGGCCACACUGGAACUGAGACACGGUCCAGACUCCUACGGGAGGCAGCAGUAGGGAAUCUUCCGCAAUGGGCGAAAGCCUGACGGAGCAACGCCGCGUGAGUGAUGAAGGUCUUCGGAUCGUAAAACUCUGUUAUUAGGGAAGAACAAAUGUGUAAGUAACUAUGCACGUCUUGACGGUACCUAAUCAGAAAGCCGCGGCUAACUACGUG
rnacentral:rRNA from 1 species